UAAACCUCUCAUCAUUAAUUCUUUACUUUAAUCGUCAGUUUGAUUCCAAGUUGCCUUUUCUAUUUUCUCCAUUUUUUUUUGGCUAUCUAAUGCCCUCUGUCUUUGGAAGGAUUUGAGUUAGUCAUUAUUGUUUCUGAUUCAAGUUGGUGUCAGUGCCUCAUUUUACAACACUGAAGGUGGCCUGCUAGCAAUUCAGUUAAAUAUGACAGUUGGGAGAACUAGAUACUCUACGAACACAUGGGGGAACCUAUGCCCAUCAUGGCAUCUUGCUUAUCCAUUGCUUUAACAAAUUGAAACCACAUUACAAGUAUUAAAAAUAAGAUCAUGCAAUGGAUGGGAAGGAAGAUCAACCUGGGCUAGGUAAGGGUGGGAAGGCUGCAUAGAAUCAUGUAUACAUCUUUAAAGCAAGUAAUAGCUUGUUUGAUAGUAUCUUGAUGUAUUAAAGGCACAGACGUGGUAUAUUUGGAAUAAGAAUAUUAUGAUACAUUCAUACUUGGUGUUUUCUUAGUUAAUGUUAUGCUUGUAUAUGCAUGAUAAGAGGUGUGACAUUAGUGAAAUCCCUGAUAAUAAAGACUAGACCUGAGACUGAAAUUGGAACUGAGGGCCUACCCAUACAUCAAGGUAUCAGAGAGACAUCCAUCUAGUGGGAAGGCUCCCUUGCAGCUCCAUGUGGUGGGGUUUUGGGGUGGAACCCUACUGGGGGACGGGCCCUGCAUCCUUAAGUAACCAUAAUCUUUAACUUGUGGCUGCUAUACUUGAGUAGUUUUAUCUGUUACCAUCUUCCUUUGGGUUUGAUAAUAAUCUCUCUGUUAUAUAUUUUUAGU